CUAUUCCCUGACCUCACCAAGAAGACAUUACUCUGGCGCAGGUCAAUGAAACCACUACUCCAAAUCCUGAGAGCCCAGGACGUGCCUUACCGCUGGGGAAACCCCAGACAACUCAUACUCACUCACCAGGGAGGCACUUACAGAGCCAAGAACCCUCUGGAACUAGAGGCCAACAUGCGCAGCCUGAAGCUACUACCGGAACAAGACUCAACCUCCCGCCUCCGAAACCUGGACCCGUCUAAGAUCCCGACCUUCGCGCCACGGUCAACCACAGGACGCCCGCCUGCACUCCUAGCCACUUGACUGGCCCAAGACACACAGUUCAUCUGCAGCGACCAACAAGCCAGAAGGAAAACCAGAUCAUACAGAAGAACUGCGUACUAACAGUAUUAUAACUCUCUUACGUUAUUUUUGAUGGUUAUUAUUACCCGCUGCUGCGCUCCCACUUAUACCUAACUACCCUUCUCCCCUCUGUAAUGUAGCUGUUACCUCAACGGGGAGUUGAAACACCCCGACCUAGACGCUAUCCUGACAAAC